rnacentral:rRNA from 1 species
AGAGUUCGAUUAUGGCUCAGAUUGAACGCUGGCGGCGUGCUUAACACAUGCAAGUCGAACGCGAAAGGGACUUCGGUCCUGAGUAAAGUGGCGCACGGGUGAGUAACGCGUGGAUAAUCUGCCCUUAUGAUCGGGAUAACAGUUGGAAACGGCUGCUAAUACCGGAUACGCUCAAAAUGAACUUUUUGAGGAAAGAUGGCCUCUGCUUGCAUGCUAUCGCGUAAGGAUGAGUCCGCGUCCCAUUAGCUUGUUGGCGGGGUAACGGCCCACCAAGGCAACGAUGGGUAGCCGAUUUGAGAGGAUGAUCGGCCACACUGGAACUGAAACACGGUCCAG